UACGGAGGGAGCUAGCGUUGUUCGGAAUUACUGGGCGUAAAGCGCGCGUAGGCGGCCUUGCAAGUUAGAGGUGAAAGCCCGGAGCUCAACUCCGGAACUGCCUUUAAAACUGCAUCGCUUGAAUCCAGGAGAGGUGAGUGGAAUUCCGAGUGUAGAGGUGAAAUUCGUAGAUAUUCGGAAGAACACCAGUGGCGAAGGCGGCUCACUGGACUGGUAUUGACGCUGAGGUGCGAAAGCGUGGGGAGCAAACAGG
rnacentral:rRNA from 1 species